UCCUCUGUGGCGCAAUUGGCUAGCGCGUCUGACUGUUAAGUAACCUUUCCAUCAUGGAGGUCACCGUAGCAAUCAGGAGGUUGACAGUUCAAGCCUGUCCGGAGGAG
rnacentral:tRNA from 1 species